AACACAUGCAAGUCGCACGGUCAGCAAUGGCAGUGGCGGACGGGUGAGUAACGCGUAGGUAUCUGUCCAUGGGUGGGGGAUAACCUUGGGAAACUAAGGCUAAUACCGCAUGACACCUGAGGGUCAAAGGCGCGAGUCGCCUGUGGAGGAGCCUGCGUACGAUUAGCUAGUUGGUGGGGUAAAGGCCUACCAAGGCGACGAUCGUUAGCUGGUCUGAGAGGAUGAUCAGCCACACUGGGACUGAGACACGGCCCAGACUCCUACGGGAGGCAGCAGUGGGGAAUAUUGGACAAUGGGCGAAAGCCUGAUCCAGCAAUGCCGCGUGGGUGAAGAAGGUCUUCGGAUUGUAAAUCCCUUUCGACGGGGACGAUGAUGACGGUACCCGUAGAAGAAGCUCCGGCUAACUUCGUGCCAGCAGCCGCGGUAAUACGAAGGGGGCUAGCGUUGCUCGGAAUGACUGGGCGUAAAGGGCGCGUAGGCGGUUCGUACAGUCCGAUGU
rnacentral:rRNA from 1 species